rnacentral:rRNA from 1 species
UACGGGGGGGGCAAGCGUUGUUCGGAAUUACUGGGCGUAAAGGGCGCGUAGGCGGCCUGCUAAGUCGGAUGUGAAAUCCCUCGGCUUAACCGGGGAACUGCAUCUGAUACUGGAUGGCUCGAGUUUGGGAGAGGGAUGCGGAAUUCCAGGUGUAGCGGUGAAAUGCGUAGAUAUCUGGAGGAACACCGGUGGCGAAGGCGGCAUCCUGGACCAACACUGACGCUGAUGAGCGAAAGCCAGGGGAGCAAACGGG